rnacentral:rRNA from 1 species
GACGAACGCUGGCGGCGUGCCUAAUACAUGCAAGUAGAACGCUGAAGCUUGGUGCUUGCACCGAGCGGAUGAGUUGCGAACGGGUGAGUAACGCGUAGGUAACCUGCCUGGUAGCGGGGGAUAACUAUUGGAAACGAUAGCUAAUACCGCAUAAUAGUAGAUGUUGCAUGACAUUUGCUUAAAAGGUGCAAUUGCAUCACUACCAGAUGGACCUGCGUUGUAUUAGCUAGUUGGUGAGGUAACGGCUCACCAAGGCAACGAUACAUAGCCGACCUGAGAGGGUGAUCGGCCACACUGGGACUGAGACACGGCCCAGACUCCUACGGGAGGCAGCAGUAGGGAAUCUUCGGCAAUGGACGGAAGGCUGACCGAGCAACGCCGCGUGAGUGAAGAAGGUUUUCGGAUCGUAAAGCUCUGUUGUAAGAGAAGAACGAGUGUGAGAGUGGAAAGUUCACACUGUGACGGUAUCUUACCAGAAAGGGACGGCUAACUACGUG